rnacentral:rRNA from 1 species
AGCAGCCGCGGUAAUUCCAGCUCCAAUAGCGUAUAUUAAAGUUGUUGCAGUUAAAAAGCUCGUAGCUGAAUUUCGGGGUCAGUAGGUUGGUCGUGCCACCGGUACGUACUGGUCUCACUGAUUCCUCCUUCCUGAUGAGCUGUAAUGCCAUUAAUUUGGUGUUGCAGGGAAUCUGGACUGUUACUUUGAAAAAAUUAGAGUGUUUAAAGCAGGCUAACGCUUGAAUACAUUAGCAUGGAAUAAUGAAAUAGGACGUUCGAUCCUAUUUUGUUGGUUUCUAGGAUUGACGUAAUGAUUAAUAGGGAUAGUUGGGGGCAUUAGUAUUCAAUUGUCAGAGGUGAAAUUCUUGGAUUUAUUGAAGACUAACUACUGCGAAAGCAUUUGCCAAGGAUGUUUUCAUUAAUCAAGAACGAAAGUUAGGGGAUCGAAGACGAUCAGAUACCGUCGUAG